UAUUGCAUGCUAUUUUAUUUAUAGUUUUUAUGUUUUUAUUUUUAGGUUUUUAUGUUUAGAUAAUUAUUUACGCUAUUUAUGUUGAAGUUACUAAUGCUCGUUUUGUUGUUUUUAUUUUUGUUGUUCUUUUACUUCACUGAGCCGAUGGUCAAUUGGAAACAGCCUCUCUGCCCUUUCGGGUAGGGGUAAGGCUCGUCUACAUAUUACCCUCCCCAG
rnacentral:lncRNA from 1 species